AGGGGAACGGGACCCCGGCCGGAGGGUCGGGCCUCGCCGCGGCCUGGCGGUACCUCAGCGGCCGGGCCGGGCCGGGCCGGGCCUGUGCGGCGGAGCCCGCCUAGCGGGAACCGGGCUGCCAGGAGGAGGCUGCCCGGCCGGUCUCCUGCCCCGCUGCCGGGUGACAUUCAGUGGAAUGGAGGUAAUGUGCAUAUGACUCUCAACUUUGGCUUCUGGAUCUAAGGAAGGUCUUUCAUUCAUGGUGAUCUCCAGUUAUAAAAGAAACUGUUAUGGCUCAAGCUUGGCAGGCUUCAGAAAAAUUCCGGCACUUCAAAUGCAUUCAAUUAAUAUGCUGAAUAUUGACUCACUGCUUACUCACGUGACCAACAUUUAAAUUAAACUUUCUCAUUUUUGAAGCAUAUUAUAAAUAAUGGUUUAAUCCUCACAGCUUGAUGAAGUCAGUUGGCAUCAUUUUCCCCUAAUAAUGGAAGAAAAGUUUGUAGGAAAAAGUAAUAUAUUUUAUUAGAUGUCAUUAUUGCUUUCAGGUUUAUUUCCAGGAAGUGCUCCUGUAAAUUUGUGCUGAGCUAACUAAUGAAAACAUACCAAAAGUAAUGGAGGAACUGAUUGUAAUCCCAGGUGACUAAGAAAGCAGUGUUUUGCCGUUAAGUUACCUAUACACCAUAGUCCAGCUGUCCUGAAGGAAGUUUGAAGGGAAUUUGAAUUCACCAAUAUGUAAGGGUAACACUUGGACACAGCAGCUCAACAUAACUGACAGUGAGGUGUACUGGUCCUAAAAUUAGUUUUUACAGACUUCACUGACUUAAUCUCUCUUGAGACUACUUAAAGGACAAGAUUUUACAGUCCAGCUUAGUGAAGGAAUGGGUGCAUCUUAUUCUAGAAGUUAUUCAGCCUGGAAGUUCCAGUUUGCAAAUGUUUUUCAUGAGUUGUCACUUCAAGAAAAGUUGCAGGGAGAAGCAUAGCAAACUCAUCUAACUGAGAACAAGAAAAGUGGUGAGUCUUUCCUGAUGGGGCACCAGGAGGUGCAAGGAGACAAGGCAAAGAAAGAAAUUGAAGGGGGGAGCAAAUAUCCUCAAGAUCUGCCUUUGGAUAACUUGGAGUUUGUGCCUGUGUAGUUGCCAGUUUGAUAUGACACAUUUACUACUUAUCUGAUUGUGCUACUUUAUGGGACGUAAUUUCUUUCUAUGGAAUGCAUCAUAUGUGUAUCCUGAAGCACAUCUGGACACGAGGAACCACUAUGUUACAGAAAAGAGACAUUUUGGAACAGAAACUACUGUUUUGUGAAUCCAAUUUGAAACCAGGCAAUUCUGCAGCAAAUGCCAGUCUAACCCCAGCAGCAUGGAGCUUAACAUGGCAUGGAAAACCAGCCGGUGCAUCGGGAAAAACACAGCUAAAACAUGAAGCUACAUUGAAUAAGAGCGUCUCAGUCAGCCAAAAGCAUGGAAUGAACCCUGUGAUGCUACUUGAAGUAUGACCUCUCCAGGGUUUUAGCUGCCUCAACCACCAUGGGUCAACAUCCAGGAAGGAAGACGUUUCUAAGGAAACCGCGGAGGCUUUCCACCAAGGUGGCUGCAUGAAAGCACUGAAACUGGUGAGAGUGACAAAAAGCAGUUCAUUGGAUAAUGUAGAAAAAGGAAUCCAAGAGAUCAGCUGAGCUCCUGUGACCUCAGGGCAACACCAAAUCCCACCUGGAUUCAAGGCAGGUCAGCUGUGUGCCAUCUACAAGAGCUGUGUCUGUCGGUGCCCAGGAGAAAUGCUCUGGACCAGUGACUAGGGCCAAGGGUCUCUUGUUCCCCUUCUCCUUCAGCUUUUGAAGUCCUCCAUCUACAUCUGGAUCUAGAUCAUCCAGGUCUGAUGACACCUACUAGGAAACUGAAACCUCCACUGGUGAGCAGCCCAGUUCUCUGGAUCCAACGCCUGACAAGGGAAUUUGUAAUGAUGAUGAGAACAGCGUCACCCAUCAUGGCGACGUCUCCUGAGCUGCUGCCUCCCUGCUGUCACAGAGCUGAAAAUGAGACAUGAAUGAUGACGUGAGCAGGAGAUUUCAGGAAUGGGACUUUCUGACCAUGGCUGUUCCCACCCCUAAUUUCUUGCCUGGCACAUCCCUGACUGCACGAAUUACUCCUUAUCCAGCUCCAUGCACGCCUACUGCCACUGAACUCCCUUUUUCCUGGAUGAACUCCACCCUCAGCAUCCUUGUGCUUUUUAUAUGGGGUAACAGACCAUAACUUCUCUAUUACAGAUCAGCUGUAGAACCUGCCUAUGGCUCUGAUCAUUGGUUAUAUGGUAACUCCGAAGCAGCGUACAAAGAGGCAUUACUCACGGCCAGCUCACACUUGCUAUUUUAAUUUUGCCUUUGCUGUUCUGAAGGUGAACGAAGCCUUGCACCCACGCAGAAUUCAAGGGGUAAGAAAAUACAUCGACCAAGCUGAUAGAAAAGCAGUCCAAAUCUACGUGGGCAGAAAAGUAAUAUGCUUUGCAGAAGGCCUGAAGCAGAGAGGAUGGAAGAAAGAGAGAGAGCAUGAAGGAAAGACAGACAUCUGCCAUGCAGCUCCGGCACUUGUAACAGAAAUGAUGUGUUUGUUCAGACCAGAGCACAUACUCGUUUACCCGGGCAAUUCUGCUGUCACAUGCCGCACACCAGACAAAAUCAUACAUCAAAGUUACCGAGCACUUGCUAAGCAGCAAGCGCGGCCAUUUAUCAUGUAACGUUACAUAUAUGCUAUUUCACCGUGGAAUGCAGUAUGUUAUGCUGGAACACAGCGGCAGCCGCCUCCAAACAUGCUGAACGAUCGAGCGAUUUUGUGCUGGGGGAAAACAUCGGUUAGCUAUUACAGUGUGACCAUCGGGCUCGCUUUGUUUCUUGUUUAAGUCGCUCCACUGAAGCUGCAUCAUUAAAACUUUCCUCACUUGCAAUCUCUUUGGUGGGUAAAUUGUUUAUUUUUGUAUUUUAACAGGAUGCACUUUCUACUGGCACCUUUCUUAAUUUAAUCUCUGAGAUUCACUGGCUCAGCUUCUGGAACAAGAAAUGGCUGAGCAGAUAUACGUAUUCGAGUUGAAUGUCAUGAAGCCUGUAAACUGCAAGCUUUCUUUAGGGGACAGCAUGUGGGUUAUUAUGAAACCAGAAAACAUAUGUGAAUAAUUGAGGAAAGGGAUCCAGCAUUUAGCUCAGAAAAUGUGAAGUCAGCUUGCUGUGAAUAACAUAUCUCUGCAU